AUACGGAGGGUCCGAGCGUUAUCCGGAUUCAUUGGGUUUAAAGGGUCCGCAGGCGGGAAAAUAAGUCAGUGGUGAAAGCCUACAGCUCAACUGUAGAACUGCCAUUGAUACUGUUUUUCUUGAGUAUAGAUGAAGUGGGCGGAAUAUAUCAUGUAGCGGUGAAAUGCAUAGAUAUGAUAUAGAACACCGAUUGCGAAGGCAGCUCACUAAACUAUUACUGACGCUCAGGGACGAAAGCGUGGGGAGCAAACAGGAUUAGAUACCCCAGUAGUCC
rnacentral:rRNA from 1 species